UUUGAGUAACACGUGGGUAACCUGCCCAUAAGACUGGGAUAACUCCGGGAAACCGGGGCUAAUACCGGAUAACAUUUUGAACCGCAUGGUUCGAAAUUGAAAGGCGGCUUCGGCUGUCACUUAUGGAUGGACCCGCGUCGCAUUAGCUAGUUGGUGAGGUAACGGCUCACCAAGGCAACGAUGCGUAGCCGACCUGAGAGGGUGAUCGGCCACACUGGGACUGAGACACGGCCCAGACUCCUACGGGAGGCAGCAGUAGGGAAUCUUCCGCAAUGGACGAAAGUCUGACGGAGCAACGCCGCGUGAGUGAUGAAGGCUUUCGGGUCGUAAAACUCUGUUGUUAGGGAAGAACAAGUGCUAGUUGAAUAAGCUGGCACCUUGACGGUACCUAACCAGAAAGCCACGGCUAACUACGUGCCAGCAGCCGCGGUAAUACGUAGGUGGCAAGCGUUAUCCGGAAUUAUUGGGCGUAAAGCGCGCGCAGGUGGUUUCUUAAGUCUGAUGUGAAAGCCCACGGCUCAACCGUGGAGGGUCAUUGGAAACUGGGAGACUUGAGUGCAGAAGAGGAAAGUGGAAUUCCAUGUGUAGCGGUGAAAUGCGUAUAGAUAUGGAGGAACACCAGUGGCGAAGGCGACUUU
rnacentral:rRNA from 1 species